GGGAGAGAGUGAAGGAAGAUGGCAAUCAAUGAAGAAGUUUGAGGGAUGAAUUUCAUGUCUUUAUGAAGCCGUCGUUUUAUUGGAUGAUGGCCUUUGAUGCAGCCUCAGAAGUUCUGGCACCAUGUCACAGUGACAUCACCGCUUUGAUUCGAGACCCAUUUUAAGUGCAGAAUCUGAAGCACAUCGAUGCAUUCAUGCAAGUUAAUGGAGGAUGCAGUCUGGUAGUUUUCUCCAAUAUUAUUGUAUUCUAUUUCACAGAGGAGCAGGUGCUUCUGGGAACUUCAAGUGCAGUCAGGCAGUUUAAGAGUACUUACCGUUUUUCUCUCAGCCCAAUAAAACAUGCUACACAUUUUUGUUCUUGUUUGACUUGAGACCUACACUUUCAGAGUUCCAUGUUGAGAAUACACUUGGGUCUCAUUUCAUCCAUCUCCUUCCACUAAGCAUUAGCAUCUGUUCCUUUCCCUAAAUGGAUGAUGAGUGUUGAAAGAACUUGUCUUGAGGUAGUUCAUGCAUUAUCUAAUGCAUUAUCUAAGUUGCGUUGUGAGGGGAGAACACUUUGGUCAGUAAUGAAUGGGAAGAAAUCUUGCCUGUGUUGGUGUGUGUGAGCGCGGAAUUGCACCAUUCAAAGGGCAGACAGAGUGAAAGGGGGAAAAGGAGAGGAGGAAAAGACAAGAUGAACAGAAGACAGAACACUGCACAAGAGAGAUGAGAGAGAAAGAGAAGGGGGGAGGGAGAGAGAGAGUCAGAGUGUUUGAAUUAAAUAAUUAAUGUCAACAGUUCCGCACAAAAUGAACUAUGGCAGAGUGACGACAUCAAAUACAAAACUCUGGAGCCAUAUAUAGAGAAACACAGUAUAUUGCUCUGCAAAAAAAGUAUUGGAAGCAACACAGACAAACUUCCCUUGGAACACAAAUCUCCCAGACACAGUCAGUCUUACAAUAGGUUCCAGUAUACCAUUGAUUUACCUUCCAUGACAACCUUGUAAAAUGUGAUAUGUUAGCACAACAGCACUCAAACUGAGGUCCACUGUCCCAUCCUCCCCUCUCCUCUCUCUGUUCUCCUGCUCACGCUGCAGCUAUUAUGUGUUUCCUUUCAAGCUAGAAUCCUUAGUUGCUACAUCAAUUGUUGGACUUAUAAAUGAAUGAUAUACUGUAUACCCAUUGAUUCUUCAAGAAUAUAACUUAUACAUGCCUCAUGAGCUUAGUUCAACUGUCGUACCCCAUCAGAACCUACAAUAAGCUUAUUUUUACUCCAAUGUUUGUAAAUAACUAACACUGUAUAGCCUCAAACAUGGUUGAAACUAUCAUUUUUAUACCAUGGUUAAGCAGUCCUUGCAUCCAUAGCUCUGUCUAUGAAUUUGAGAGUGGUUACACUUCUCCAAGACCAUCCUUCAAUUUUUACCAAAACCAAGGCAGGGUGGUAGCUUUGUUAUUGUUUCAACUGCAGAUUCUAGGUUUAAAGCACCUUCAGCUCUUCCAGGAAACCAGAGAGCUGGUUUUACACUGCAAAUACAAUUCGCAAUUGAGAGCAUCCUGUCAGGCUAUAUCACCGCCUGGUACGGCAACUGCACAGCCCUCAACCGGAAGGCUCUCCAGAGGGUGGUGCGGUCUGUACAAUGCAUCACCGGGGACAAACUACCUGUCCUCCAUGACACCUACAGCACCCGAUGUCACAGGAAGGCCAAAAAGAUCAUCAAGGACAACAACCACCCGAGCCACUGCCUGUUCACCCCGCUAUCAUCCAGAAGGCAAAGUCAGUACAGGUGCAUCAAAGCUGGAACCGAGAGACUGAAAAACAGCAUCUAUCUCAAGGCCAUCAGACUGCUAAACAGCCAUCACUAACUCAGAGAGGCUGCUGCCUACAUUGAGACCCAAUCACUGGCCACUUUAAUAAAUGGAUCACUAGUCACUUUAAACAAUGCCACUUUAAUAAUGUUUACAUAUCUUACAUUACUCAUCUCAUAUGUAUAUACUGUAUCUUAUACCAUCUAUUGCAUCUUGCCUAUGCCGCUUUGCCAUCGCUCAUCCAUAUAUUCAUAUGUACAUAUUCUUAUAGUUGUAAAUGAGAACUUGUUCUCAACUAGCCUACGUGGUUAAAUAAAGGUUAAAUAAAUCAAAAAAUCCAUCCCUUUAGAUUUGUGUGUAUUAGGUAGUUGUUGGGGAUUUGUUAGAUUACUUGUUAGAUAUAUUACUGCAUGGUCGGAACUAGAAGCACAAGCCUUUCGCUACACUCACAUUAACAUCUGCU
rnacentral:lncRNA from 1 species